UUGUGUCUUGACUUUGGCUUCAAGACCCAAGAUGUUAUGACUGCAGCGAAACUUCUUGAUGAUGCAGAAGUUAAGCAGGUCGAGGAAUAUGGUUUUUCAACUUUCCUAAACCUACAGUUGAGAACAAUCUGCGAGCGCAAGGAAACCAAUUUUUGUAUGAAACUAGUUGAUCUUGAAGAGAAUAGGAUCAAAGUGCAACUACAGAAAGAUGUAACUGUAUACAUCACACCGGAGGAGAUCCAUCAUCUCUUGAGACUGCCCCGUGGUGAUAAGGCCCCCCUUAAAUACAAUAAGCAACAACAGAAAGACUUUGCUAAAAUGCGAACUGAAUUGGGGAUCCAAAAAUGUCGUUGGAAAUUGCAGAUAUAUUGGCGUUGA
rnacentral:rRNA from 1 species